rnacentral:rRNA from 1 species
UUACGUAGGUGGCAAGCGAUUUCCGGAAUUCUUAGGCGUAAAGCGCAUGUAGGAGGUGCCUUUAGACAGUCGUGAAACUGCAGGGACUAAUCCCGUAUGGCGAUGGAAACUGCGGCACUUGAGUGCAGGAGAGAUAACGGGAACUCCGAGUGUAGCGGUGAAAUGCGUAGAUAUUGGGAAGAACACCGGUGGCGAAGGCGCCUUUCUGGACUGUGUCUGACGCUGAGAUGCGAAAGCCAGGGUAGCGAACGGGAUUAGAUACCCCUGUAGUCCUGGCCGUAAACGAUGGGUACUAGGUGUGGGAUGUAUCGACCCCUUCCUUGCCGGAUUUAACGCAAUAAGUCCCCCGCCUGGGGAGUACGGCCGCAAGGCGUAAACUCAAAGGAAUUGACGGGG